ensembl:lncRNA
CAACAGACUGAGGUACUGUCUGCAGAAAAACAAAUGGGGGAGGUUGUUUUAAAGAAGCAGAAAUCCUUGUGUUCAUAAAAUGGUCAGGGAUGGGUUUAUUUAAUUCAGAAAAACAUUUGCAAAAUAAAUAAGCAGGUCUUAACUGACCAUAUGCUAAUCUUUCUCUGUGUCUCAAGACUUGCUUCUGGCUAGGACUAGGGAUAUGGCUUUUUGCCCAAUUCUAAGGUUUAAUAAGACAUGUCAAGUGAAAAUGAAAAGUAUGUAUUUCUGGAAGCUUCAACCUUUUUUGUCUUUUUUUUUUAAUCCUCAAGUUCCUGAGUAUUUUUUAGUCUGACACUUCUAAGCUAUUGAACAGGGUGGGAGGACAAACCUCAUUCAUGAAACUUUUCUUUUGGCUCACAACCUGCACAAGAGGGAUGGGUUUUUCCUCUGACUUCAAAUGGAAAGCUCUCCCCUGACCACAAGCAUUAUGGAAAGGUGUUUGCUUGCUGCUUCAUAGCUCAGGAGUGAAGCAUGCAGAAAGCAUUAGGUGAAAGUGAACUAUUUAAUGAAUCCAUUGUUCCUGGUUUGGUAUGAAUUCCCAAGACCUUGAAUUAUGAAAGAUCAUAUUAAAAAGCCUUCAGGAGAUUUCCCCCCCCCCCACUAGAGCAGUUAUGCAAGAAGCCUCUUGCUUUACUCACAUGGAUGUUCUGGAAAUACCUCUAUCUGGAAAAAGCUGGGUAAUAAGCUAUUUAACUGCUGUAUAAUAGUAUCUAACCACUGAAGAAUAAUCUGGUUUGGGUGUUAAAAAAUCCAAAAAUCCAGCAAACGUUCAGAGGCACAAAAAAUUCUGAAGAUGUUACUUGCUUGUGAAGUGCAGCUAAGUAUUUUUUGUUGCUUUUAGGUGAUUUAUAUGCUGGAGGAGCAGAAUUUUUUGUUUUCUUUAAAUUGCAGAUGAGAUCUGGUUUGUGCAUAGUUCUCUUAACUAUUCAUCAGGAGAUCCGGAGCACUGGAGUUAAAACUAAACAAAACAACCCAUGAUGUCAGACUCAUAAAAAUUAUUUGGCUUUAUUUGUAUCUUUAAAAAACAUGGUGAAAUGAGGGGAAGAUUUUAAGAGUGAUACUGCAUACUUGGGUGUUUAAAAAAAUACCUUUCUUAUGCUGGAGAUUUUUAAUAACAAACAGAAGAGGGAGUUGGGGGAGUGAGGGCAAUGGGGGACUCUGUCAGCAGAGCUGUUCCCAGGUGUUCCAGAGUUAUCUGUGUCUCAAUCAAAAAUCAAUGUGAAUGAAAAUUAUAAUUGCACCUGUAUCUGCAAGGAACUGCUGUCCUUGCAAAAUCUGAGUGCAGGUGUGAAAUGCCAGUACUUACAAAUCUCAUCUGUGUUUUAUGCAGCGCUGUACUGGGUUUUAUUCUGACUCAAAACUCAAAGAGCUGGGCUGUUGUGCAGUGGCUCUGUACUCAGACUCUGCUGAUACUCAGCUCAGGUGUUUAGAUUGUUUUUUGGUUGGUUUUUUUUUUUUUUUUUUUUGCAGGGGGAGAGGUGUGUCUUAUUCCCCUCCCUAGAAGAUGACUUUGCAUUCCAGAGUUCUGUGAAGGGGGAUGGCAUCCAGCCUGAGGAGAGUCUCCUGUACAUUUCACCAGCAGCCCUGUUGUUACUGGCUGCAUUUAAAUCCUUCUAAUGCUCUUCUUUCUGCCUCCUGCUCAAGCAGGCAGCUCCCUUCUUGUGCAGUUGCAAGCUUGGCUGCACAUCAGCACACAUCUCAGCAUCAGAUCCACCUUCUGGAUGAAUUUUGCCCUUACACAGGCUAAAAAGUGGCACCUUUUCAGGGCUCAGUUUAGCCACAAGUGAGGCUCAGCGUAUUUCUGUCCGUGCUAUAGCUGAACAGUGAAACUAUGCAAUUUCCAGCUGUAAAAAAAAAAGCUGGUCUAGAGUUGGAUGGGCUGAAGCUUUGGGGAUUUUUUUUUUUUGUUUUUUUUUUUUUCUUCCCUCCUGUGUGGAAUGAAAGCUUGGCUUUUGGAACAGCUCUGCAACCACAAAGGAAAAGCACACUGCUGCUGGCUGGGUGGUGUCCUGGCCCCUGCGCUGCUGUAGCUGAUUUUUGUGGGAGCUUCCAAGGCAGUCUGACACACACCCUGCCCAUAUUCCCAGCUCCAGAGCCAGCGACUUCAAAACCUUCUGCUGUUUUUUUUUUUUUGUAUUGAGAAACCAAUGUCUUCAGUGGAAUAGGUGCCCUCAGCUCAGCUUUGGUGGGGAAAAUACACAUUUCUUGUUGAAGGUUUCUGUGGCAAGGCGCUGGCAGGGAGGCAGGUGCUGUUCUCGUGUAUUGAUUGCUGUGAUUUUAUUUUGAAGUGCACACCUGCUAAAAAGCACUUUCAGCACAGAGCAAGAUCUCCACUGAUGAAUUUACAGUUUCACUCCUUCCUCUACCAUAGAUUCUUUCUGUGUGGUGGUUACUGAGCUGAGCUUCCAAGCUGGUUCUGUGGGUAACAGUCGUGGAGAGAAGCAGGGAAAAGAACUUAGAAAAAUUUAUUUAAAGAGAAUGGAGGGGAAAUGGAUACCCUGAAAUACCUGGCAUUUAAGUCUAGUUCCAGUACCCUGCAUUAAAAUGGGGAGUUACUUUUGGCUUGGCCCGGAGGGUCAGCGGCACCCGAGGAGCUGCGGGGAGCAGAGCGGGGCUUUUCCGGGGCUUUUCCGGGGCUUUUCCGGGGUUUUCCAGGGCAUUCCGCAUCUCCCGGGCCCAGGCGAGGCCGCUCUCCUGCGGGGCCGGGCGGUGGCGGUGUCGGCCCGGCUCCGGAGCAUCCGCCCGGGCAAAGCGGGUGAAUCCCUGACCUCAAAAGGAUG